GGUUGCUUCAGUGAACAUUCAACGCUGUCGGUGAGUUUGGGAUUCAAAUGAAAACCAUCGACCGUUGAUUGUACCCUAUAGCUAACC
ensembl:miRNA Mir181a-1 microRNA 181a-1